AACGACAGUCAAGACAUUAUUAUAUCUGCAACACCACAAGAAAAUCAGCACAUGCAAACUCCAUUAUCAGUAACAGCAAAAACUAGGAUAUGGAUUUUCCAGCACCACUAACAACUAAAUCAAAACUAUUUCACAUGAUUGAUCAGCAAAAAGAAAAUACUCCCCUGUCCUAUUCAAAUUAUCACAGGAUGAGAAUAAAUGCAUUCCACAACCAAGUACCGAUUCAGCAUAUUGGCUUUUGAGUCCAGUUAAUCACAAUCACAAUCACAAACACAAUCAAUAGUGUUACUCCUCCUGAAGAGAGGAGUUCCAUAACAGGUUGAAGAUCACUUUAUGAAACAACAAAUUAAGAAUGAUAACAUAGGGAUUGUAGUCAUCAAACACCAAGGAUUCAGCCAGCUUAAGUUUUUGAAAUCAAGGGACCUUGAAGCAAAAUCAAUUUUGAAAUGUAUAAAGAAAGUUCCGGAAGAAAAAGCUCCUCUGUACAUCAUGAUAAAGAAUGCUUUCUACUCAAAAUAUGUUAAACUUAUGUGUCACGUAAGAUAAAUGUUAAGUGAUUGCCUAGUAAAUCACAUCUGAUCAUGUAGUUUCAUUAUAUGGCUCAACCCAAUCACCAGCAAUUUGGUCAAUACUAACUAAAAAAUCUGCGAAGUGGCCCUCCUGCUACUCAUGCAAUUAUCAGAUAUUAAAUGAUCGAACAUGAGUAGAAGCCACCUUAUGUGAAGUUUUUCAGGUAUUUGUGAACUGAGCUCAAUUUGAAUGAGAUACACGAGAUGUUAUAAUAACUUUUUCAACAAAUCCCCACUGUCCAUUUUUUUCUGAAAGAGGAUUCUUAAUAUUUUAAGAUUUCCCCUUAUGCAUUUCCAAAUCGGUAUAAGUCACUUAACUAAAUAUCGUAGGUUUCCAUUGAAGUACUUUCGAAUCAAAACAUAGUUAAGUCUGCACAAAUUAUUUUUUCUAUACCAUGUUUUUAUAGUGUAAAUAUAUGCAUCUAUAAUAUUUACUGCAAAAAUGAUUAAUACAUAACUCAAUGAUACAUAAAAAUUCCAAUGAAAACUAAACUCAAUCCAUUCUUUUAUAAAAGACGAAAUAAACUCACUCUUAUCUCAUUGAAAAGAACAUACUUACUCUUUGAGAUCAAAUCAUGCCACGAAUAUUUAACAUCUCUAAGACCAACAAUAAUAUUGGUGGGUUUGACAAGUGGUCUGAUCUGCAAUGACAUAAACACUGAGUAUCAAUAACAUCUGUUAUACAACCUAUUCCCAUACCACUGAAUAUAAGAAUAGAUUUUUUCCUUCAGAAUAAAAU
rnacentral:lncRNA from 1 species